rnacentral:rRNA from 1 species
CCUACGGGAGGCAGCAGUGAGGAAUAUUGGUCAAUGGACGAGAGUCUGAACCAGCCAAGUAGCGUGAAGGAUGACUGCCCUAUGGGUUGUAAACUUCUUUUAUAUGGGAAUAAAACGUUCCACGUGUGGGAUUUUGUAUGUACCAUAUGAAUAAGGAUCGGCUAACUCCGUACCAGCAGCCGCGGUAAUACGGAGGAUCCGAGCGUUAUCCGGAUUUAUUGGGUUUAAAGGGAGCGUAGGUGGAUUGUUAAGUCAGUUGUGAAAGUUUGCGGCUCAACCGUAAAAUUGCAGUUGAAACUGGCAGUCUUGAGUACAGUAGAGGUGGGCGGAAUUCGUGGUGUAGCGGUGAAAUGCUUAGAUAUCACGAAGAACUCCGAUUGCGAAGGCAGUUCACUGGACUGCAACUGACACUGAGGCUCGAAAGUGUGGGUAUCAAACAGGAUUAGAUACCCGUGUAGUC